UUAUCAUAUCCACAGCCAAGUUUUCAAAAGGCGAAAUGCAAAUGUGAUGUUCUUCAUUUUCUCGAGUGCGGAAAUUGCUGUCCGUCCUCAACGAGGCAUUUUCAUCCAAGAAAACCAUUUUGUGAUUAAUAUAAUCACCCUCGCAAAAACAUUUGCCACAGCCAAAAUAUCUAUUAUGCCCUUUUGAGCCAGUUACAAAGGAUUUGGCAGGAGUAUCACAAAUAAUUGCUCUGAUUGUUACACGGUUUUUUAUAACCGUGAAAAGCAGCAAUCAAAAAGGGUUCCGUGACAUGAAUAUUAUAAAUUUGACCAAGUAUAGGCCAUAACUGGCUUUGGGAACUUUUAGUAAGAGACCAUAAUAAAAGUAAUGGCCAGCUCCACACUCUCGAAUAAUUGUAUUUUUGGGUGUUCCUAACAAGGUUCGAGCAUCACUGGGCAAAUCAUUGUGACCUUCUUUCUGUAGAAUACACAAUAAAGCUGUCAGAGAUUUUUGAGUAAUAUUAUAUUUAAUAGCCCACACACACACACACAGGAAACAGUUGUAUUGUACUGCAAUUUUGAUUUUCGAGAGAGCAUUCUAUGUAAGAAGAAGCUUGCUUGUUAGUAACAAGCCUUUCUGGAAGGCUAAUGGAAAUAUUGUCAUUUUGUGCAGCUAGUAAUAAACGGCGAUUUUGUUGUCUGCGUGACAACUCUUUAAAUUUUUUAAUUUUUGGCAUUGUGCUAUUUUAUUCUGCGUACAAACCUGUUAUCAUUAAAUUUAUCAAUUUAAUUGAAUAUUUUAAAAUAUUGUAAUAAAAAAUAUUGGAAUUGAUAAAAAAUUUUUUUGAGAAUUGUUUAUA